AGAAGGAGCCUCCACUAUUAGCACGAGAUCCCAUAGGUUAUUGAAAGCUAAUCAGGGUCAGCCCUGGUUAGUACAUGGAUGGGAGACCACAAAUGAAUACUAGGUGCUCUGGGUU
rnacentral:rRNA from 1 species